GAUGAACGCUGGCGGCGUGCUUAACACAUGCAAGUCGAACGGAAAGGCCCUGCUUUUGUGGGGUGCUCGAGUGGCGAGCGGGUGAGUAACACGUGAGUAUCCUGCCCCUGUCAGUGGGAUAACUUCACGAAACUGGGGCGAAAAUCGGAUAGGAUCUCCUGCUGCAUGGUGGGGGUUGGAAAGUUUCGGCGGUGGGGGAUCGACUCGCUGGUUAUGCGCCGCAUGGUCAGGUAGGGGCUGACAAAGGUUUUGACGGGUAGGCCGCCUGAGAGGGUGACCGGCCACAUUGGGACUGAGGGACGGAGCAGACUCCUACGGGAGGCAGCAGGGGAGAGUAUUGCAGAGUGGGCGGAAGCCUGAUACAGCAGCGCCGGGUGCGGAAUGACGGCCUACGGGUUGUAAACCGAUUUCGCCGGUGACGAAGCGGGAGUGACGGUAAUGGGUAAGAAAGCACCGGCUAACUACGUG
rnacentral:rRNA from 1 species